rnacentral:rRNA from 1 species
GAUGAACGCUGGCGGCGUGCCUAAUACAUGCAAGUCGAGCGAACGGACGAGAAGCUUGCUUCUCUGAUGUUAGCGGCGGACGGGUGAGUAACACGUGGAUAACCUACCUAUAAGACUGGGAUAACUUCGGGAAACCGGAGCUAAUACCGGAUGAUAUUUUGAACCGCAUGGUUCAAAAGUGAAAGACGGUCUUGCUGUCACUUAUAGAUGGAUCCGCGCUGCAUUAGCUAGUUGGUAAGGUAACGGCUUACCAAGGCAACGAUGCAUAGCCGACCUGAGAGGGGGUUCGGCACCGAGGGAAAUGGGAAACGGACCAGACUCCUAGGGGAGGCAGCAGUGGGGAAGUGUCCGCAAGGGGGGAAAGCCUGACGGAGCAACGCCGCGUGAGGGAUGAAGGUCUUCGGAUCGUAAAACUCUUUUAUUAGGGAAAAAAAUAUGGUAAAGUAACUGUGCAAAUCUUGACGGUACCAAAUCAAAAAGCCCCGGCUAACUACGU